GAUGAACGCUGGCGGCGUGCCUAAUACAUGCAAGUCGAGCGAACAGACGAGGAGCUUGCUCCUCUGACGUUAGCGGCGGACGGGUGAGUAACACGUGGAUAACCUACCUAUAAGACUGGGAUAACUUCGGGAAACCGGAGCUAAUACCGGAUAAUAUAUUGAACCGCAUGGUUCAAUAGUGAAAGACGGUUUUGCUGUCACUUAUAGAUGGAUCCGCGCCGCAUUAGCUAGUUGGUAAGGUAACGGCUUACCAAGGCGACGAUGCGUAGCCGACCUGAGAGGGUGAUCGGCCACACUGGAACUGAGACACGGUCCAGACUCCUACGGGAGGCAGCAGUAGGGAAUCUUCCGCAAUGGGCGAAAGCCUGACGGAGCACCGCCGCGUGAGUGAUGAAGGUCUUCGGUUCGUAAAACUCUGUUAUUAGGGAAGAACAAAUGUGUAAGUAACUAUGCACGUCUUGACGGUACCUAAUCAGAAAGCCACGGCUAACUACGUG
rnacentral:rRNA from 1 species